UCAAACUUGGUCUUGUGGUUAGACAGUGGUUUUAGAAACCGUUUUGUGUUGGUUCGAAGCCAAAUUUGAA
rfam:Brassica napus, WGS project CCCW01000000 data, contig: 11855